AACUACACUCUAUACCAAAUAAGUGCGUUUAGAAUGUUGUUGGUCAACAUUGUUCCAUGUCCUACAAUUUACCGCAAUCAGAUAAAUCAAAUAAAACUUUCUUGGAACUUUUCCUAAUCACCACAAAUUCACCCUAACGCCUUGAAAUGCCAAAACAGGAAGGUAAUCCUCAAAUCUUGAAAUAUGUCAGUUUAGUAACACUGACACUACAAAAUGCCGUUUUGGGGCUCAGCAUGCGGUAUGCACGCACCAGAGCAGGAGACAUGUUUUUGUCAUCAACAGCUGUAGUGAUGGCAGAAGCGGUCAAACUAGCAACGUGUCUGAUUUUGGUUUAUGUAGAAGAAGGAAACUUCAGAAAAUUUCUACGUACUCUUAACUUGACAAUCAUCAAACAGCCACUAGAUACACUGAAAGUUUGUGUUCCAUCGCUUGUGUAUAUCAUACAAAACAAUCUUCUAUACAUAUCCGCAUCGCAUUUGGAUGCAGCUACUUACCAGGUCACAUAUCAAAUGAAAAUUUUAACAACAGCAUUUUUUGCGGUAUUGAUACUUCGAAAAACGCUCCUAGCUAUCCAGUGGAGUGCCUUGAUGCUCCUUUUGACUGGUGUGAUUUUGGUUCAACUAGAUCAAAGUAAACCAAGUUCUGUGCCAUCAGGUACGGAACAAAAUCACCUAAUUGGUGUCUCAGCUGCACUAAGUGCAUGCUUUCUCUCGGGAUUUGCUGGGAUUUAUUUUGAAAAAAUUCUAAAAGGUUCCGAUAUUUCUGUCUGGAUGCGAAACGUUCAGCUCAGUUUACUUUCUCUACCAUUUGGAUUGUUUACUUGUUUUCUAUAUGACGGAACCAUCAUUUUUAAACAAGGAUUUUUCUUUGGCUAUGACUGGGUUGUUUAUUAUUUAGUCGUACUUCAAGCUGGAGGUGGGCUUGUUGUAGCCAUGGUCGUUAAACAUGCAGACAAUAUUUUGAAAGGGUUUGCUACUUCUUUAGCUAUUGUUAUUUCCUGCAUAGCAUCCAUUUACUUAUUUGCAUUCCACUUGUCCUUACAAUUUGCUACUGGAGCAACUUUGGUUAUUUGUUCAAUAUUCAUGUACAGUCAUCAACCUAGGACGAACGAUGUUUCUGAUAAACAUUUGCUUAUUAAUAAAGUGUGAAAUACGAGAUAUUAGGUACUGUUUCAAUUUAGCAAUUAAUAAAUUAAACUCUUUUCAAGAGUUAGGUGGCUGCUGAGCUUGCAGUUAUCUGUUACUGCUAUAUUCAGUGAUUGUUCUGCAAACUCUGACUCCAAGUAUGCAAAGAAGGAAUUUAUCGAAAAUGAAGUAUUGUGGAUGUCUUCUCGUUGGGUUGUAAUCGAAUAAAAAAAUUAUUUUCAAUUGUUUCGAGAACUUUGAAAUAUCACUAUGAUGCAUUUUGCACAUUCUAAACGUAAUAAUCCAGUUGCAUAUCAAGCUAUAGCAUAAUUUCUUGUAAUAAAUCGGUUGAAAUUAGCCCGUAAGCUUGGAGCUUUAUGAUUGUCAACCGAGACGAACAUGUAUGGAAUUAUUUUUCAAUCCACUAUUCGAUAAUAUUUAAUAAUAAUAGUAUAUAGAUAUUUUACAAUUAAAUCGACGGAACAAAAAAAUUGUUCAUAAAGAUCUUAAGGAAGAAGUGUUAUUUUGAAGCAUUCUGAAGGUAUAGAAACUCGAUGCAAUAAAUAUGAAUAGCUGAAAGAAAGAAAUUAUGAUAAAACAAAGUCAUCUGCAUACAUUUAUUUGUAUUACUGUAAAGAACUCAUUUUGUCUUUUUUAUUAAUAGUAUUAAUCAUUACUAACAAACAUUCGUUACUUAUUAAAAUAUGCAUCAUUGAUCUAUAUUUUUUAUAUGAUCAACCACAUGAAUACCAUUGCCCGUACAUAGUUUUUAUCAUACAAUAAUCAUCUAAUCAAUAUGAAGUGUUCCGACAUAUUUUAUGGAACUGAUGUGAGAUUUGAUGUACUCAAUUUUUAAUUAUUGCGACCGAAUAAACCUAAUUUUUACAUGAUAAUGGGUCUAACAUGACAUUCGACUUAUCCUCAUUCAAGGUAUAGAGCAUUGUGAAAGGAUUUUCAAAUCGUCAUUUAAAUUUACGUCAGGCUUUUGGAAUGACGUAACCAUAUGCUACCAAUCCAAAUUACUGAGGCAACAAUUUAUGCAGAGCAGCCAACUGUUAAAGAUACAAAAUGUAAUCAAUCGGUUUUAAAUGAGUUCUACAUUAUGUUAGAUUAGAACUUCACACAAGUUUCCUCAAAUAAUUACAAAAGAAGCAUCAAAGAAAGAGGUUGGAGAAGCCGCAACAAGUGGUUCCAAAGGUCGCCAUCUAUUCCUUCGAUUGCCAGCUCUCCACCGUCGUUAUACAAUAUCUAUCUUCGGUAGUUCUCCCUCGUUAAUCACCCUCCGUAUACAUAAAAA
rnacentral:misc_RNA from 1 species